rnacentral:tRNA from 2 species
UCCGCGGUAGCCAAGCGGUCGACGGCGGCGGGCUUAAGACCUGCUGAGUAGAUUUUCGAGGGUUCGAAUCCCUCCCGCGGAA